rnacentral:rRNA from 1 species
UACGGGGGGGGCAAGCGUUGUUCGGAAUUACUGGGCGUAAAGGGCUCGUAGGUGGCCAACUAAGUCAGCCGUGAAAUCCCUCGGCUUAACCGGGGAACUGCGUCUGAUACUGGAUGGCUUGAGUUUGGGAGAGGGAUGCGGAAUUCCAGGUGUAGCGGUGAAAUGCGUAGAUAUCUGGAGGAACACCGGUGGCGAAGGCGGCAUCCUGGACCAAUACUGACACUGAGGAGCGAAAGCCAGGGGAGCAAACGGG